rnacentral:ribozyme from 1 species
UGGCAAAAAUCUGCGCAGAAUCCGCACUUGCAAUUCAACUAAUGUUUCGGAGGUGGAAAGCUCGGAAAAUCCGCCGACGCUUGGAGGAAAUAGCCGCUG